rnacentral:lncRNA from 10 species
CAGCAUGUCUGGGUUGGGCCCAGAACUGCAUUUCUAACAAGCUCCCAGAUGCUGCUGUCACACCAAGGACUACACCAAGACCCCAGGCUCCAGCUUCACUGAGAUAUGGCUGUAUCUUCUGAUUUUAAAAGGACUGUCCUAAGGAGUCCUUGGAAGCCAUGCUUCAGCCCAAAGGUUCUCAGCAAGGAAGUUGAGCAACAUCCCAUAAGAGAGAAGGGAAUGCAGGGGAAUGUCCCACGUGAAUGUUCACCAAAGGGUGAACUCAGUAGAGGAAAUUUUUAAUAAUCAAGUGGUUUGGAUGAUCCACUCUGUGAGUCAGUUAGCUUCUUUCUCCAGACACUCCUGUCAUCUCCCAACAGAUUCAUGGACAAAGUGGCCAUGGUGGCAGGAAUUGAAGUUAUGCAUGGGCUCAGCAACAUGGACUUACACUCACCAAGGCUGACCUGGCUGCAGCCUCUGCUGAGCAUUCAGUUGGCCAGAAGCAAAGAUCAACACUGAGUCUCUGAUAGGGACAAUUCCCCAGAGUGAUCAGCCAGCUUAUUUAGUGGUAAGCUGACUACACGGGACUGUUUCCAUCAUGGAAGAGGCAGUGUUUUGUUCUUACUGGAAUAGACACUUACUCUGGACACAGAUUUGCUUUCCUCCCAUUCCCCCCACCAAAAAGGAUUUGCUUUUUCUGAAUGCAAUGCUUCUGCAAAAAAUAAAAAAUAAAAUAGUAAUAAUACC